rnacentral:lncRNA from 1 species
AUUUUUCACACUUGCUGUCUGGUCACCCUACCCCCUGCUCUCUCGUGGUGGACGCAGUCAAUGCAAGAGAGAGACAAGGUCAACAGGGCCCUGCUCCAAAAUCAAAGGACUCCAAAUGCCUGGACCUUUUUGGGAGGAAAAUUUAUUCCACAGGGGGUCUGUCACUCCGAAUCACAACCCACCUUGUGAUUCUUAGUAGAUAUAGUCACAACUCGUGGUUGGCGGUCCUUAAGUUUCAGGAUCAGCUUCCACCUGAGUCCCGCACCGAGCUCGGGGCAAUCACAGAUGCCCCCCGUGUCUUUACCAAAUGCAUGGCGGUAGUAGCAGCGUUCCUCUGCCGCCGCCACAUCCAUGUGUUCCCGUACCUCAACGACUGGCUGAUUCGAGGCCAAUCUCGUCAACAGGUCCAGGCGCACGUGCGAAUGGUCACAGACACACCCAUCUCGGCAUCAUGCUAAAUACCAGCAAGUCCGUACUCAUACCAACCCAGUCAAUAGAAUUCACUGGGGCAGUCCUAGAUGUGAACAAAGCUCGAGCUUUCCUCCCAGAGGCCCGUCGUCUGGCUCUCGUGGACAUAAUCACCAAUCUGUGCAUGUUCCCCACCACUACUGCAAGGCAGUGCCUCAAGCUGCUGGAGCACAUGGCAUACUGCACUUACUUAGUGCAACACGCCAGGCUACACCUUCGACCCCUGCAGGCUUGGCUGGCGUCCACGUACCGACCAGGGCACGACAGUCUGGAUAUGGUCCUCACGGUCCCAUCUCGCACGUUAGAUUCCCUGCAAUGGUGGCUGGAUCCUCAGAUGGUAGGUGCCGGAGUCCCCUUCCAGUCCCCUCAACCUACCCUGACUUUGGUGACGGACGCAUCGGCAUUGGGGUGGGGCGCACACCUCGGAGAUCUGACAGCACAAGGCAUGUGGCAGCAUCACGAGCUCACCCUCCACAUCAACAUCAAGGAGCUCAGGGCAAUUCGCCUGGCGUGCCAAGCGUUCCUGCCCCGCCUACGGGAUCGCUGUGUAGAAGUUCUGACAGACAACACCACGGCCAUGUUUUAUCUGAACAAACAGUGCGGAGCUUGGUCAUCGCAUAGGCGCCGAUUUCGUGGGUGCUCCGGGGCUGGAGCACCCAUGGAGAAAAAUUGGUGGGUGCUCCACACCCACCAGCAACUCCCCGCCCGUCCCGGACCCGCGGCAAACUUACC